AGCGAACGCUGGCGGCAGGCUUAACACAUGCAAGUCGAACGGGCGUAGCAAUACGUCAGUGGCAGACGGGUGAGUAACGCGUGGGAACGUACCUUUUGGUUCGGAACAACCCAGGGAAACUUGGGCUAAUACCGGAUAAGCCCUUACGGGGAAAGAUUUAUCGCCGAAAGAUCGGCCCGCGUCUGAUUAGCUAGUUGGUGAGGUAACGGCUCACCAAGGCGACGAUCAGUAGCUGGUCUGAGAGGAUGAUCAGCCACAUUGGGACUGAGACACGGCCCAAACUCCUACGGGAGGCAGCAGUGGGGAAUAUUGGACAAUGGGCGCAAGCCUGAUCCAGCCAUGCCGCGUGAGUGAUGAAGGCCCUAGGGUUGUAAAGCUCUUUUGUGCGGGAAGAUAAUGACGGUACCGC
rnacentral:rRNA from 1 species